rnacentral:rRNA from 1 species
CCAGACUCCUACGGGAGGCAGCAGUGAGGAAUAUUGGUCAAUGGGCUUACGCCUGAACCAGCCAAGUCGCGUGAGGGAAGACUGCCCUAUGGGUUGUAAACCUCUUUUGUCAGGGAGCAAUUGGCGCUACGUGUAGCGUUAUCGAGAGUACCUGAAGAAAAAGCAUCGGCUAACUCCGUGCCAGCAGCCGCGGUAAUACGGAGGAUGCGAGCGUUAUCCGGAUUUAUUGGGUUUAAAGGGUGCGUAGGCGGAAUCCCAAGUCAGCGGUAAAAUCGCGGGGCUCAACCUCGCUCCGCCGUUGAAACCGGAGCGCUAGAAUUCCGAUGCCGUCGGAGGAAUGUGUGGUGUAGCGGUGAAAUGCAUAGAUAUCACACAGAACACCGAUUGCGAAGGCAUCUGACGAAUCGGAGAUUGACGCUGAUGCACGAAAGCGUGGGUAUCGAACAGGAUUAGAUACCCUAGUA